rnacentral:rRNA from 1 species
GACGAACGCUGGCGGCGUGCUUAACACAUGCAAGUCGAACGGAAAGCCCCUGCUUUUGUGGGGUGCUCGAGUGGCGAACGGGUGAGUAACAAGUGAGUAACCUGCCCUUGACUUUGGGAUAACUUCAGGAAACUGGGGCUAAUACCGGAUAGGAGCUCCUGCUGCAUGGUGGGGGUUGGAAAGUUUCGGUGGUUGGGGAUGGACUCGCGGCUUAUCAGAUUGUUGGGGGGGUAGUGGCUUACCAAGGCUUUGACGGGUAGCCGGCCUGAGAGGGUGACCGGCCACAUUGGGACUGAGAUACGGCCCAGACUCCUACGGGAGGCAGAGGUGGGGAAUAUAGCACAAUGGGCGGACGCCUGAUGCAGAGACGCCGCGUGCGGGAUGACGGCGUUCGGGUUGUAAACCGCUUUCGCCUGUGACGAGGAGUGAGUGACGGUAAUGGGUAAAGAAGCACCGGCUAACUACGUG